rnacentral:rRNA from 1 species
UUAAGCGACUAAGCGUACACGGUGGAUGCCCUGGCAGUCAGAGGCGAUGAAGGACGUGCUAAUCUGCGAUAAGCGUCGGUAAGGUGAUAUGAACCGUUAUAACCGGCGAUUUCCGAAUGGGGAAACCCAGUGUGUUUCGACACACUAUCAUUAACUGAAUCCAUAGGUUAAUGAGGCGAACCGGGGGAACUGAAACAUCUAAGUACCCCGAGGAAAAGAAAUCAACCGAGAUUCCCCCAGUAGCGGCGAGCGAACGGGGAGGAGCCCAGAGCCUGAAUCAGUGUGUGUGUUAGUGGAAGCGUCUGGAAAGGCGCGCGAUACAGGGUGACAGCCCCGUACACAAAAAUGCACAUGCUGUGAGCUCGAUGAGUAGGGCGGGACACGUGGUAUCCUGUCUGAAUAUGGGGGGACCAUCCUCCAAGGCUAAAUACUCCUGACUGACCGAUAGUGAACCAGUACCGUGAGGGAAAGGCGAAAAGAACCCCGGCGAGGGGAGUGAAAAAGAACCUGAAACCGUGUACGUACAAGCAGUGGGAGCACAGAGCAAUCUGUGUGACUGCGUACCUUUUGUAUAAUGGGUCAGCGACUUAUAUUCUGUAGCAAGGUUAACCGAAUAGGGGAGCCGAAGGGAAACCGAGUCUUAACUGGGCGUUAAGUUGCAGGGUAUAGACCCGAAACCCGGUGAUCUAGCCAUGGGCAGGUUGAAGGUUGGGUAACACUAACUGGAGGACCGAACCGACUAAUGUUGAAAAAUUAGCGGAUGACUUGUGGCUGGGGGUGAAAGGCCAAUCAAACCGGGAGAUAGCUGGUUCUCCCCGAAAGCUAUUUAGGUAGCGCCUCGUGAAUUCAUCUCCGGGGGUAGAGCACUGUUUCGGCAAGGGGGUCAUCCCGACUUACCAACCCGAUGCAAACUGCGAAUACCGGAGAAUGUUAUCACGGGAGACACACGGCGGGUGCUAACGUCCGUCGUGAAGAGGGAAACAACCCAGACCGCCAGCUAAGGUCCCAAAGUCAUGGUUAAGUGGGAAACGAUGUGGGAAGGCCCAGACAGCCAGGAUGUUGGCUUAGAAGCAGCCAUCAUUUAAAGAAAGCGUAAUAGCUCACUGGUCGAGUCGGCCUGCGCGGAAGAUGUAACGGGGCUAAACCAUGCACCGAAGCUGCGGCAGCGACGCUGAUGCGUUGUUGGGUAGGGGAGCGUUCUGUAAGCCUGUGAAGGUGUGCUGUGAGGCAUGCUGGAGGUAUCAGAAGUGCGAAUGCUGACAUAAGUAACGAUAAAGCGGGUGAAAAGCCCGCUCGCCGGAAGACCAAGGGUUCCUGUCCAACGUUAAUCGGGGCAGGGUGAGUCGACCCCUAAGGCGAGGCCGAAAGGCGUAGUCGAUGGGAAACAGGUUAAUAUUCCUGUACUUGGUGUUACUGCGAAGGGGGGACGGAGAAGGCUAUGUUGGCCGGGCGACGGUUGUCCCGGUUUAAGCGUGUAGGCUGGUUUUCCAGGCAAAUCCGGAAAACUAAGGCUGAGGCGUGAUGACGAGGCACUACGGUGCUGAAGCAACAAAUGCCCUGCUUCCAGGAAAAGCCUCUAAGCAUCAGGUAACAUCAAAUCGUACCCCAAACCGACACAGGUGGUCAGGUAGAGAAUACCAAGGCGCUUGAGAGAACUCGGGUGAAGGAACUAGGCAAAAUGGUGCCGUAACUUCGGGAGAAGGCACGCUGAUAUGUAGGUGAAGUCCCUCGCGGAUGGAGCUGAAAUCAGUCGAAGAUACCAGCUGGCUGCAACUGUUUAUUAAAAACACAGCACUGUGCAAACACGAAAGUGGACGUAUACGGUGUGACGCCUGCCCGGUGCCGGAAGGUUAAUUGAUGGGGUCAGCGCAAGCGAAGCUCUUGAUCGAAGCCCCGGUAAACGGCGGCCGUAACUAUAACGGUCCUAAGGUAGCGAAAUUCCUUGUCGGGUAAGUUCCGACCUGCACGAAUGGCGUAAUGAUGGCCAGGCUGUCUCCACCCGAGACUCAGUGAAAUUGAACUCGCUGUGAAGAUGCAGUGUACCCGCGGCAAGACGGAAAGACCCCGUGAACCUUUACUAUAGCUUGACACUGAACAUUGAGCCUUGAUGUGUAGGAUAGGUGGGAGGCUUUGAAGUGUGGACGCCAGUCUGCAUGGAGCCGACCUUGAAAUACCACCCUUUAAUGUUUGAUGUUCUAACGUUGACCCGUAAUCCGGGUUGCGGACAGUGUCUGGUGGGUAGUUUGACUGGGGCGGUCUCCUCCUAAAGAGUAACGGAGGAGCACGAAGGUUGGCUAAUCCUGGUCGGACAUCAGGAGGUUAGUGCAAUGGCAUAAGCCAGCUUGACUGCGAGCGUGACGGCGCGAGCAGGUGCGAAAGCAGGUCAUAGUGAUCCGGUGGUUCUGAAUGGAAGGGCCAUCGCUCAACGGAUAAAAGGUACUCCGGGGAUAACAGGCUGAUACCGCCCAAGAGUUCAUAUCGACGGCGGUGUUUGGCACCUCGAUGUCGGCUCAUCACAUCCUGGGGCUGAAGUAGGUCCCAAGGGUAUGGCUGUUCGCCAUUUAAAGUGGUACGCGAGCUGGGUUUAGAACGUCGUGAGACAGUUCGGUCCCUAUCUGCCGUGGGCGCUGGAGAACUGAGGGGGGCUGCUCCUAGUACGAGAGGACCGGAGUGGACGCAUCACUGGUGUUCGGGUUGUCAUGCCAAUGGCACUGCCCGGUAGCUAAAUGCGGAAGAGAUAAGUGCUGAAAGCAUCUAAGCACGAAACUUGCCCCGAGAUGAGUUCUCCCUGACUCCUUGAGAGUCCUGAAGGAACGUUGAAGACGACGACGUUGAUAGGCCGGGUGUGUAAGCGCAGCGAUGCGUUGAGCUAACCGGUACUAAUGAACCGUGAGGCUUAACCUU